GUUCAAAACCCAACCAAUUUAUUACUUUCUUUGUAGCACCUGAUGACAAAUGAUUCCAUGGACUAGCAGCAUCUCUCAUCAGACCCUGAUAGCAUUGCUUACUCCUUAUCAGCAUAAAAAGGAAGUGUUAGGAGCUGCUCUUAACCUUUUUGGAGUCCGAAGUCAAAAGACUGUAUCGGCUUCCCUCCAAUCCUCCGUUUGGAAGCUUGUUAGGAGAGUGAAUGCUGCUGUGAACAGGCAAAUUCUAAUGAGGAAGUGGCGGGAACUAGAGGGCUUGACACAUCCUUUACAUCCUGCAUUUACUCUGACCACAGUCCCUGCCUGUUCUCACAAGUGGAGCUCAACCCUGCUUCCCUUCCUGUUGAUUCCCAGUCAGCUACAUGACUGCCUGAAGUUACAUUGUAGAUGCUGAAAUCACUGCACCUUAAAAACAAAAAGAUUAAGCUGCACUGCAUUCCUUUAUAUAGAUGCAUGUUAUAAAAAUAUGUGAUAAGAAGUUUCUGGGUCCAAGUAGAGCAUAUCAAGUUGACUUUUGCUGGAAUCAAGUGAGUUUUAUUCCCACUCCUUUUCUAUCACUUCACCCCUUCUUUCCCUUUUCUUUUGCCUCCUCUUCUUGCCCCUCUCUGCCCUUCACAUGGAAUUUUCUUCCUUCCUCAGUAGAAAUUCUGACUGGCCCAGUAUGUUUUACUACAGUGUAAAUUAUCACUUUCAGUGUUAAGGUGAUAAAACAUAUUUUACUGCCUUCUCACUUGCCCAAGAAAUAACAAAUAGGUUUUGAAAAGCAGAUGGUUGAAUAGAGAGCCCAGAGGUAUCACAGAGGUAACAGGUGCAGCUCCCUCUUUGGCUGGUGUAAUGCAAAGAAAUUGUUAUUUCCCAGACAAAUCAGAAAAAAGGAAGAACAGUGAAAAGAUGGACCUAAAGAAUCCAAAUAUGUAUAUUUUGAAAUUGUGUUUAUGGUAGUGCAGGAACUGCAUUCAUACAUCUUCAUGGCUAAAGCAGAGUGCUGAAGGUUAGAGACUUGCGUUGAAUCCUGGUGCGAUCAUUGAGUAGCUGUGUAAUUUGCACAACUGUUUUUAUGUCUGUUUUUACCACACAUC
rnacentral:lncRNA from 1 species